GAGUUUGAUCCUGGCUCAGAUUGAACGCUGGCGGCAGGCCUAACACAUGCAAGUCGAGCGGUAGAGAGAAGCUUGCCUCUCUUGAGAGCGGCGGACGGGUGAGUAAUGCCUAGGAAUCUGCCUGGUAGUGGGGGAUAACGCUCGGAAACGGACGCUAAUACCGCAUACGUCCUACGGGAGAAAGCAGGGGACCUUCGGGCCUUGCGCUAUCAGAUGAGCCUAGGUCGGAUUAGCUAGUUGGUGAGGUAAUGGCUCACCAAGGCGACGAUCCGUAACUGGUCUGAGAGGAUGAUCAGUCACACUGGAACUGAGACACGGUCCAGACUCCUACGGGAGGCAGCAGUGGGGAAUAUUGGACAAUGGGCGAAAGCCUGAUCCAGCCAUGCCGCGUGUGUGAAGAAGGUCUUCGGAUUGUAAAGCACUUUAAGUUGGGAGGAAGGGCAGUAAAUUAAUACUUUGCUGUUUUGACGUUACCGUACAGAAUAAGCACCGGCUAACUCUGUGCCAGCACG
rnacentral:rRNA from 1 species